rnacentral:lncRNA from 1 species
GAUAGUACCUCGUUGUUUGAAGUGCUGCCAGCUAGCGAUGGUAAAAUCAUUUAAGUUUUUAGACUAAAGAUUGUUAUCGUAGACAUGCACUUUGGUUGACACCCACUCUUCAUUCAACGGUUGACAGAACGUUUUUAUACAUUUGCAUUUAUUUAAAUACUUUAGUAAAGUUCAAUUUAUUUUCAUUGUGAUUUUGUGGCGGUGUGGAACGAUGACAUGGUUCAAGGAGCAAUUAAUACUCGAUCAUUUCAAGAGCGUAGGAAUGGCUAUGGAUUUUCCAUGACAUAGAAACAGAGUUGCCACAGUCUCCUCGACGUAGCUCAAUUUUUCAGAGAAGAUGGGCCGGUAAAAGUUAUUUUUGGUAUACUAGCAGUGCAGCAGCUGUCUCUGUCAGUAUAUCGACUCCAUCGAUGCACGACUCUUCUGAGCUCCAUCGAGACAACAGAGUGUAGAAAACAAGUCUCAUUGACGGAUUUACUUCGAGUGUAGGAUUUUUAUCCUAUAAGUACGGUGUUUAAUUUUUUUCCUUCAAACAAGGGUGACAGAUAUAGAUUUUGCUUCGUAAUUCCGAAAUGAUACAUAUUGUAGGAUGUUUUUGGGGCGUUGUAUGUUCAAUUUCUACAUUAGAACCGGUCUGCUGGUAAAGUAUACAUGACUGACGAUAUUCAGUAGCUGUUAUUUGGAGUGUUCGAUUCGAGUUCAUUUGUGAGUGAAAUAUUUUACCAGGUGAAUAUGUUUUACAGAAUUUGAGAAGAAACGAAUAGAUUAGGUAUAUAUAGGAGGA